GAUGAACGCUAGCGGCAGGCUUAAUACAUGCAAGUCGAGGGACAGCACAGGUAGCAAUACUGAGUGGUAACCGGCAAACGGGUGCGGAACACGUACACAACCUUCCUUUAAGUGGGGGAUAGCCCAGAGAAAUUUGGAUUAAUACCCCGUAAUAUAGUUGAAUGGCAUCAUUUGAUUAUUAUAGCUACGGCGCUUAAUGAUGGGUGUGCAGCUGAUUAGAUAGUUGGCGGGGUAACGGCCCACCAAGUCUACGAUCAGUAGCUGAUGUGAGAGCAUGAUCAGCCACACGGGCACUGAGACACGGGCCAGACUCCUACGGGAGGCAGCAGUAAGGAAUAUUGGUCAAUGGACGCAAGUCUGAACCAGCCAUGCCGCGUGAAGGAUUAAGGUCCUCUGGAUUGUAAACUUCUUUUAUUUGGGACGAAAAAGGGCCUUUCUAGGUCAACUGACGGUACCAGAUGAAUAAGCACCGGCUAACUCCGUGCCAGCAGCCGCCGUAAAAC
rnacentral:rRNA from 1 species